rnacentral:lncRNA from 1 species
GCGGGGAUAGGGGGAUCUGAGGCCCUCCCUGCCCGCCCGCUCGGCCGCCCGCGUGCCCCGCCCCUCGGCCCCGGCAGAGGGCGCUAUGGAGCCGGGCGCUGGUGAGUUCUAGCCCUUCGCCAGGAACGGCGAUUCUCAGCGUCCUCUCCGGUGGAGGACAGAAGGCAUCCCAGGGUCGCGGGAGAGCCAGCGCAAAGUGGAAGGCACCUUGUACGCUGUGAAGCGGAGAUGCAGAUGUUACCCUAACCAGAAGCCCACCCCGCCACAAAUACUGGAGCGCCCAGCAUGCGUGCGCCACCCGCUUCCCUGCAGAGGGCGCCGCGGGCCCGCCUCGCCGAGCGCGGGGUGAGAUCCCAGUAGCCCAGAGCAGCCCGCGGGGCAGGCCCGGGCUGCCGCGGACUCCUCUUGCAGAAAAGCCUUUGAUGCUGUAUUCUUAGCACAUGGAACCCUAAACCAAAGCCUGCACUGGGGCAUUUGUGAGAAGCGUGUGUGCAAAGCCUGAGAGACUCCCCUUUUGGGCAUGCUGCUGGGCAGGGGUGUUCUGGUUUGACUUUGUACAUGUCAGGCCAUCUCAAACUUGUGGCUGCAGCUGUCACUUAGAGUCGCACACCUCCUGAAUUGGUACCUCCAGCCCUGACUUCUCUUCAGUGCUCCAGACACAUGUAUUUCUCUGCUCGCCAAACAUCUUCCACACAACAAGCACUUUAAACUGAAAAUAUUCCAAAUCAAACUAAUCACAUUCUGCUUGCUAUCAGCAGCCUUCUUCACUCUCUGAUUCCUUUAUUUUGGUUAGUAGCAGUGUCAUUUACCAAACUGCUCCAGCCAAAAACCCUGGUGUCAGCCUAAACUCCACACUCUUCUUUCACCUCCAUUGUCUAAUAGUCACCAAAGUCUGUCCCCUCCUACCCUAGCAUAUCUCACCCUUCCAUUCUCUUGUUUCCAUCCCAUUGUCACUGCCCUAUUUCAGGCUCUCAUCACUUCUCACCUGGACUAGGGCAACUGCUUUCUUGUUUCCAUUAAAAAUUUUUAUUUAUAAUUG